UGGUGAGAUCUAUUUAUUUCCUGUUAUCGUUUUUCUUUUUUGAUCUGAAAUUUUAAAUUUAUGUAAGAUGCUGUGAGCAAAGAAAAAAGCUCCAUACCAAGCAAAGAACAUAACGGUGGAGUUUGUAGUGUUUAUCUAUGUGGUUGUGGUGAAUACGGAGGAGGAAGUGAUGGAAAAGAGUAGGUCGGUGGAAAGAACUUAGCGGCGGCCACAGAGAGCACAUGCAACGACAAUAGGAAAGCAGAAAGCGCAGUAGUAAGACAACAAGAACAGAGCGGUGACAUCUAUAUGCAGCCAGAACAAAUUUGCAUGUUUCAUUAUAUGGUAUCCCGAUGAUAAGGACACUGAGGUUGCUGGCAGCACAGCUACUGGAGGCGGUGCUCCUACUUCAGUUUUACGUGAACAUAAAAGAGGUGUUGAAUCUGAUUUUACCUUUUUUGAAUUGUGCAAUUGAUUGAUUUUUAUGAUUGAAACUUUUGUGCGGUUUAUGCUAAUGAUUUGAAAUGUGCAUAUUGAGUUUCAGUAAGAUUUGUGAUGCGUGAACAUCUUGUACCUAUUUUCCCUUAAUUUUUAGUCAUUUUUAGUUAGAAUUUAUUAAGUUUUAUUAUAUUUUAGUGCAAAAAUCCUCUUUGGUUGUUACUUUGAGUUGUUUUAGUAUUUUUAUGAUUUC